rnacentral:misc_RNA from 1 species
GGGCCCCUUCAUGUGCCAGUCUCCUAGGGCACGCGCAACAGAUAACUGGCCAUUAAGGUAGCCAUCAUAUAUGACUCCACCGAGUUUCUCAAUUCUCAGUUUUUCAGAUAUGCAAAUAGGUUUGUGGUCUUUGGACAUCUCUAUUGCUCUACCUCGCCUCCCCAGCACUGCUCGACAAUCUCCAGCAUUGGCAAUUAUCAAGGUUCUGCAAAGAGAGAUUAUUUCAGUAGCAAAACAACCAUGAAACAACAAAUAUCAAAUGAGAAGCAACCAAGAAGAAAAUUCUAAAUGACCAAAAAUCUAAUUGUUCUACUUGUUUAAGAACCAGGAACAAGCAGUAGACUUGUCAUAUUUCAGUGAUUAAAGUAAUCUUAAAAAGACAUAUUGAUGUUUGUAUUCCUGGAAAAAGAUGGCAAGACAUAACAAAAACCAGAACAGCCCUUGUUUUUACAUCAGAUUUGAACUUGCACAGUUCUUGAUAUCAAAUUUCAAAGGUAAAUAACAAUGCAUCUUAAUAAUCCCAGCUCAAACUAGCUAGUUUACAAAGUUGAAACAGAAUUUGAUCUGAUGCAUCACUAUUGCUAAGCUACCCAUAACUUUUAUCUUCAACUCUCUCACUUCCAUUCUCAUCCUUCCAUUUUUAUUAUAAAUUAUAAUCAUACAGAUCCAUGUUAUUAAGAUAAUAUCCAUCCAUAAAGUCAUUUGUAUCAUCCUCCAGGGAAGUACUUUUAGAGGCCAACGUCCAUCUGCCAGGUGCUAGGACAAUAGGGGCAUUACUACCCCCUUAACCUUGUGUUUGGAUGGAGAAUUUAAAUUUUGAGAUUUGAAUUUGAUAAAAU